CUGAACUAUUGAGAUCCCCUUGUUUUAUAGCCAAUGUUACGCAUGAUUGCACUUCGAAUAGAACGCUUGACUCUGUUUACACGUACAAAUAAUAGAAAGGGAUGAAACCCCCGAUCGUGAAAUAUUUCGAAUGGAUAUAACUGGCGUGUUUCUAAACCAAAACCUUUUAUUUUUUGUGUACAGUUUAGAUAUGAUACACUUAGCAUACCUGUACAAAGAAAUUUUAAGAAACGGCUAUUAAACCGAAAUUUUUGGGAAUACAAAUUUGGCUUAUUUUGUUUCAACGUGCACCGCAACACAUGGUGACGGAAGUGACGUAGUUACGUACUUACAAAGAUAUUACGCAUGA